UUGUCUAUUCAUGUGUUUUUAGGCUAAAUUGAAUAGAAUGGUGUUUAAAUAAACUUAAUUUGAAUAUGUUUAGAUCAAGAAUUAAAGAAAUCGAAUUUGGAUCGGGGAAAGACAAAAGUGGUUGAGUAGCCGAUUUAGCAGUCGACAACAUCGGAGAUUUUGGAGGUUGGUUACGAGCUCGGGGACCGUCAACAAAGUCUAUCACACUAUCGACAUCUUUUGGAAAUGGAUCCCGAUCGAGCCAUAGCCGAUGAUGUUAAGAGUAUAGCGCCUGCUCUCGCGCAAGGGACAGAGCCGAUAGAUUCUAGACCGACCUCGAGUGAUCAGGAGGGAGAGGCUAAACAAGCCUUUUACCAAAUGAUGAAUGACUGGUUUACUCAAUAUAUUCGAACUAAUCCGGCUGUACAACAACCUCCACCCCCGAUUAGUCCAUCUUCGAUUCCUGUUAUACCUCAGGUGAGCGAUCCGUUGAGAUUACUUAAGCCUCCUAUUGAUAAAAUCUGAAAAUAUGGGGCUGAAGAGUUCAGAGCCAUUGAUGAUGAUGAUGUUGAGCGAGCUGAAUUCUGGCUCGAUAAUACUAUUCGAGUGUUUGAUGAGUUAUCUUGCACCCCUGAUGAGUGCUUGAAAUGUGUCAUAUCUUUGCUAAGGGACACUGCAUAUCACUGGUGGAAUACACUAGUAUCGGUGGUUCUGAAAGAGCGAGUGACCUGAGAAUUCUUUCAGACUGAGUUCCGUAAGAAAUACAUCAGCCAGAGAUUCAUUGAUCAGAAAUGCAAGGAAUUUCUUGAAUUGAAAUAGGGUCGGAUGAUAGUGACAGAAUAUGAACGAAAAUUUGUGAGACUCAGUAGGUAUGCCCGAGAGUGUGUUUCGACUGAAGCUAUUAUGUGUAAAAGAUUUAAAGAUGGGCUGAAUGAAGAUAUUAAACUGUUAGUUGGCAUACUUGAAAUAAAAGAGUUCGUGGUACUUGUUGAACGAGCUUGUAAAGCCGAUGAGCUUGGAAAAGAGAAAAGAAAAGCUGACUUUGAAGCUAGAGAUUCCCGUAAAAGAUCAUUUAGUAAGUCAUUUUAGUCGACCUCAAAGAAGUUUUGAAAUGAUACUAGUCGUUCAAGGACUGUUGCGGGGUAUUCACGCCGGGAUCAGGAUAGACCGCCUAUGAGCUCGAGAGCUACUUCAGUAGCUAGUGUGGGUAAUGUCAGAUCAAAUCAACCCGAGUGUGAACAUUGCGGUAAACGACAUCCCGACAGUUGCAGAUUGCAUGAUCGAGCCUGUUUUAAAUGUGGAUCGAGGGAUCAUUUCAUUCGUGAGUGCCUAGAGUUAGCGGAUCAAAAUCUGGUACAGAAUAUGAGAUUAGGUAACACUACAACUAGAGGUAGACCCCCCAGAAACACGAGUAAUAUGAGUGGAAAUCAGAGGGGGACUAAAGAUACAACUGUUAGAUCUGAGGCACGUGCACCUGCUAAAGCUUAUGCCAUUCGCACACGUGAGGAGGCUUCAUCCCCAGACGUCAUUACUGGUAUUUUCACUCUUUAUGAUACUAAUGUUAUUGCACUGAUUGAUCCUGGUUCAACUCAUUCAUAUGUGUGUGAGACUUUAGUACCCAGUAAGACUUUGCCUGUUGAGUCUACUGAGUUUGUGAUUAGAGUAUCAAACCACCUAGGCCGGUGUGUUUUGGUUGACAAAGUGUGUAAGAAUUGUCCGUUGAUGAUUCGAGAUUUGUAUUUUACAGCUGAUUUGAUGUUGUUGACAUUUGAUGAGUUUGAUAUAA